CCAAACUUGGUCAUUUAGAGGAAGUAAAAGUCGUAACAAGGUUUCCGUAGGUGAACCUGCGGAAGGAUCAUUACAAAAAAAAAAAGAUUCUUUAUGGAUUUUUAUUUAAAUCCAUAAUAGACCUUAUGUGCAAUUAUUGAAAAAAAAGGUUUUUUCAAUCUUCUGUGGGAGGGAGAAGUGGGGGAAGGGAGGAAAAAAUCCUAACCCUAACCCUCCCAGAGGGGAAAGGAAAAUAAUUCUUUUUAUAUAUAUAUACACAUAAUCUCAUUGUAAUUAUUAUUAUUAUUAUAUAUAUAAUAUUAAAAAAAAAAAACUUUCAACAACGGAUCUCUUGGCUCUCGCAUCGAUGAAGAACGCAGC
rnacentral:misc_RNA from 1 species